AAAUAAAUGAAGUGGAGGAAAUGGCAGUCAGAUUUAUGUUUGCUUGGGCAGGAAAGAGGAUGACCUGAGUCUUUGUAGGAGAAAUGAGUAAACUCCUAGGAACAUUGUUGUUUAUUCUGUGGCUCCAGUCUGACUGGGUGAAGAGUCAACAGAAGAAUGGUGACCAGCAGCAGGUUAAGCAAAAUCCUCGGUCCCUGAGUGUGACAGAAGGAGGGAUUUCUAUUCUGAACUGUGACUAUGAUGACAUUAUGUUUAAUUACUUCCAUUGGUACAGAGUCUACCCAGCAAAAAGUCCCACAUUCCUGAUAUCAAUAGGUUCCGUUUUGGAGAAAAAUGAGGAUGGAAGGUUCACAGUCUUCCACAGCAGAAGUGCCAAACACCUCUCUCUGCACAUCUCGGCCUCCCAGCCUGGAGACUCAGCCUUGUACCUCUGCGCAGCCGGCACACAGUGCUCCCCAGGCACCUGCAGCCUAGAGAGGCUGUGGGUCAGCUGAACUUCAGUCAUCGACGAUGCUUUGUUCUGACUUGCUCCUGGAAUGAGGAUCCAGCAUGGCUGACACAGUAACUCAAGCUCAGACUACAGUAACAGCGCGGGAAGGAGAAGCUGCGACCAUAGACU